rnacentral:rRNA from 1 species
AUUGAACGCUGGCGGCAGGCCUAACACAUGCAAGUCGAGCGAGCGGCGGACGGGUGAGUAAUGUCUGGGAAACUGCCUGAUGGAGGGGGAUAACUACUGGAAACGGUAGCUAAUACCGCAUACCAUCAGAUGUGCCCAGAUGUGAUUAGCGAGUAGGUGGGGUGAUCGCUCACCUAGGCGACGAUCCCUAGCGGGUCUGAGAGGAUGACCAGCAAAGCUGGAACUAAGACACGGUCCAUCCUCCGGGGGGAGGCAGUAGUGGGGAAUAUUGCACAAUGGGGGCAAGCCGGAAGCAGCCAGGCCGCGGGUAUGAAGAAGGUCGUCGGGUUGAAAAGUCCUGUCAGCGGGGAGGCUUUACCCGAAGAAGAAGCCCCGGCUAACUCCGUGCCAGCAGCCGCGGUAAUAC